UACGUAGGGUGCGAGCGUUGUCCGGAAUUAUUGGGCGUAAAGGGCUCGUAGGCGGUCUGUUGCGUCGGGAGUGAAAACUCAGGGCUUAACCCUGAGCCUGCUUCCGAUACGGGCAGACUAGAGGUAUGCAGGGGAGAACGGAAUUCCUGGUGUAGCGGUGAAAUGCGCAGAUAUCAGGAGGAACACCGGUGGCGAAGGCGGCGACCUGGACAAGUACUGACACUCAACUACGAAAGCGUGGGGAGCAAACAGG
rnacentral:rRNA from 1 species